CUACCAUAAGCCGUCUCCAAAGGCGUUUCAGAGAAUUUGGUAGUACAUACAACCGGCCUCACAACCGCAGACCACGUGUAACCACACCAGCCCAGGACCUCCACAUCCAGCAUCUUUACCUCAAAGGUCAUCUGAGACCAGCAACCCAGACAGCUGCUGCAAAAAUCGGUUUGCAUAACCAAAGAAUUUCUGCACAAACUGCCAAAAACAAUCUCAGGGCAGCUCAUCUGCAUGCUCGUCGUCCUCAUCAGGG